rnacentral:rRNA from 1 species
CCUAAAGGCGCAAUGAAAGUGAAGGUCGGCCUCGCGCCGACCGAGGGAGGAUGGACCGUGUCACGAUACGGUCCCGCACUCCCGGGGCGUCUCGUUCUCAUUGCGAGAAGAGGCGCACCCAGAGCGUACACGUUGGGACCCGAAAGAUGGUGAACUAUGCCUGGUCAGGACGAAGUCAGGGGAAACCCUGAUGGAGGUCCGUAGCGAUUCUGACGUGCAAAUCGAUCGUCGGAACUGGGUAUAGGGGCGAAAGACUAAUCGAACCAUCUAGUAGCUGGUUCCCUCCGAAGUUUCCCUCAGGAUAGCUGGCACUCGCCUGUUCUAAGAACUUAUACGAGUCUCAUCUGGUAAAGCGAAUGAUUAGAGGCCUUGGGGCCGAAACGACCUCAACCUAUUCUCAAACUUUAAAUGGGUGAGAUCUUUGGCUUGCUUGAACGUUGAAGCCAUAAGAUUUCGGAUCAGAGUGCCAAGUGG